rnacentral:sRNA from 2 species
CCUGCGGCCAUCGGGGAGUAGCCACCGCUGACCCAGCGGGAGCGUGUCAACACACUCGUGCGCAUUGCACGUGGCACGUUCAGUCGAUUGAUCGGCUCGGCAAGACCGUGGCGAAGACCGCCUGGCUCGGACAAGGCGGAGGACGCCCGGUUUGCAUGUCCGCGAGGCUUUCGA